CCAUCCUAGCAAAGAUGAACAUAAGUUAAUUAUUCUCAGUGUCAAAGAAGGAAUUUUCUCCCUUGUGAUUCGAUGAGUUAUUUGUACAACAUAUGAUAGAACUAGUAAGUGGCAGAUUGCAGUUGCUCAUGGUAGUCGUAUGGAAUACCAAUUUAGGUGUUGGAAAUUUAGUAAUGCUAGCUAAGAAACAAUUGUCUAGUGCUGAGAAAAGAAAAAAAAAGAUGAAAAGUAGCAGAUCAAUUUAUUCCAUCACAAAAGGGCUUUGUUAGCCUUGGAACGCUCAUGUUGAUCAUCAAGAACUGUUGUAACUUGGCUUCGAGCGCAAUCCUCUGGAACGAAGUACACUGUCUACAAGCGUGGCACCACCGAUUCUCUCCUUUUGGUAGGUGUCUUGUCUAUGAAGACGAUUUGAUCAUCGACGGACAACACAGAGAAGGUGUCAUGGCGCUCAAUGAGCAGAUGCAGGAGCAUGAGCGACCUUCGGUUCGGCGGCCACCUCAAAGCUGCAGGCUUGAGCUUGAGCUUGAUCGCGAGCUGGGUGCCUCGGGGCGGGAUUUGGAUCGAGAUGGGAUUAUUGGACGUUUGUCCACACGGAAAUGCGUGAUAAGUUUGGUGCAGGUGCAUUUAUAUGGUGGUAUUACAAACAGAAGAAGACGAUGCUUCUCCUGCAAGAUUGAAGCCAAAUCUCUACUCCGCGCCGCCAGGCCACCGCUCUUAGCGGCGCCAGAGCGCCGCGCGGUCUCGCUGCCCUCCCCCGCCGGCGGACACCCUCCGCGCCGCCCCGGGCGCCUCCAUCCCGACCGCGGCCGCUCGGAGCGGAGUCCGGCCGCCUACCUCCAGGACGUCCAUUCCACCCGCCGGCCGCCGCGAGUCCGCCUCGCCAUCCGCAUCUUGGACCUCCUGUACUCGAUCCAUGGCACCCUUCCCCAAUCAGCAGCUACGACCUCGCCUCUGCAGUACACGUCCCCUCCUAGGUGCCUGGCGGAGAGGGAGGUGGUCCGAGACGAAGCCGGGACGCUGUAGAGGAGAGGGGAGGUCAGGUGCACUGCCGCUCGCCCCAAGUCACAGCUACCCUCCGCUGCUCGACGCCGGACGAGUGGUGCAGUUCGGCUACGGUGCAUGAUGCAAGUCGAUUUCAACCAGCACCAGGUUAGGUAUUUGAAUGUGCAUUCUUGAGAAACAAAAAGGGAUGCAGUGCUGCAAGGAGUUUGUGACGUGCUGUGUUGUAAAUGUGCUAUGAGAUUCCCCCCCUGCAAGCAAGCUCAAAUCAAAUAGCCAUGAAGCAGUUUUCAACUAAUUAGAAACCAGAUCGCAACAGCUAGAUAGCAUGGUUCUGAAUUCUGAUCCACGUACAGGAUCUUGUCAGACUGCAUUCCAAUUAAGCAGAGGAAGCAUAUAUGCUAUUUGAUCAUUUCUAGCUGCCUUUCUCUACUUCCGUGUCUUAUCCUUGGACUAUCACAAACUUUAAGGAGCUCAGCCAAUAUGCUUACUGACUUGCUUGUAGUACAGAAUCUGGGAUCUGCGAUGGCAGAUGUUGUUAUAGAUGCAAUGGUUGCGGAAGCAGUUCGAUCAGCAGGGUUUGCUCAUGUCGGUCCUGCGGUAAUUACCCUACUGGACAUUGUUUUGCUGUCACAGUUACACGUUCAGUAUGGAAUUGCUGAUAAGUACAUGGUGCUGUGGGGUUCUGCUUUGGCUGAUGCAAUCGACCAGUUCAAGAUGAGUUCCUGAUCCUGUCAGGACAGCUUUACCUACCUGGAAUCGAGGGCACAAUGUUUGCUCUUUUCAUGUCAAUCAACAACCUGGGUUCAACACUAGGUUCAUUCCUGGGGUCUGCUCUGGCAUCAGCUUUGAACCUCACCACAGGACACUUUGACAAUCUUGCUCUGGGUUUGGGGGUACAGAUGAUUUGUACUCUCCUACCAAUUGGGUUCCUAUCUUUGAUUCCAAAGGAAGUCACAGGACUAACAUUGGUUGAGGGUAAUGUUCUGCGCUUUUUUCUACUUAAUGAAACACAUGCCGUUGCAUGUUAUCGAAAAGGGGGUAAUGUUCUGCGCUUGAACCUCAAAUUCCUGACUCAAGCCACAUAUACUUACAGCUCUGUACCAAAGUGAGAGGAAUAUACACAUUAUAGGAAGGAAAUUAAAGCUAGUUGGAAGAUAGACAGUUUUGUUGACAGAUGUAUACAGCUCUGUUCCAGGAUGAGAGGAAAGAAGAGUGCAUAGAUUUUUAGGCAAAGAUGAAAGUUACUUGAUGUUGACAGAUGUUGAUGCUACUUGACAUGUGUAGAAAUGAGAACAUGAAAGUGAUGUUACUAAUGAAUACAUCUGUGCAC